rnacentral:rRNA from 1 species
UCCUACGGGAGGCAGCAGUAAGGAAUAUUGGUCAAUGGACGGAAGUCUGAACCAGCCAUCCCGCGUGCAGGAUGAAGGUCCUAUGGAUUGUAAACUGCUUUUAGCAGAGAAGAAAAGCAUUCAUUGAUGAGUGUCUGACGGUAUCUGCGGAAUAAGCACCGGCUAACUCCGUGCCAGCAGCCGCGGUAAUACGGAGGGUGCAAGCGUUAUCCGGAAUCACUGGGUUUAAAGGGUGCGUAGGCGGAGAAUUAAGUCAGUGGUGAAAGCCUGUCGCUUAACGAUAGAACUGCCAUUGAUACUGAUUUUCUUGAAUUGGGUUGAGGUUAGCGGAAUGUGACAUGUAGCGGUGAAAUGCAUAGAUAUGUCAUGGAACACCAAUUGCGAAGGCAGCUAGCUGGGCCUUGAUUGACGCUGAGGCACGAAAGCGUGGGUAGCGAACAGGAUUAGAUACCCUGGUAGUCCACGCCCUAAACGAUGCUAACUCGAUGUUUGGGCGUAAGUUUGAGCAUCCAAGGGAAACCGAUAAGUUAGCCACCUGGGGAGUACGACCGCAAGGUUGAAACUCAAAGGAAUUGACGG